GGGCAGAGUGAGGUGGAGCUUGGCUGCGGAGUCUCCCUGAUCUUUCCAUGGAUAUCUGCAGCACCUGGGGUCCACGGCAAAACUCUUUCCUUCAGAGGCCAAGAGCUGAGUCUACAAUUUCAAGCAGGGUCCUGUAUGAGCUGCCAAAGAACUACAUAUGCACCAGACGUACGUACACAUGUACGCUGAACGCAUGGUGUCUGGGCAGGAACUGCACAGCUCUGGGGUCAGUUGGAUUUCUCACGUACUCUUACUGCACUUUGCACAGUUAAAACACCUUCAACCAAGAUCAAGAUAUCAAAUACUGCACCAACACUUUCGUUAUUUGAUCCUACCAAGAAAGCUAAUGAAUGGAUACUUGCUGCUCAGUUCAGAAGAAGUGCCUGUGACCUGCUUUUACCCUCCAUGC